AUAAAUAUUUUAGAUUAUUUUUAAUAACUAUCUAACAAUUUUUGAACGAAAAAUAAAGUGAAAAAAAUUAUGUAAGUAUUUUUUUUAGAAAAAAAUAACAUACUACCCGCUUCAUUUAUCUUUUUUAAAAAUAAACUUAACUAAAAAUGUGAAAUAAUUAGGUUUCGAGUUUGGGACCUUAAGUACCGACCACCAAAUUAUUUAUCACUUAUUCUAGAGAAGGUGGGUAAAUUUUUGUAAGGGCUAGUGACUAAAAAAGGUGGGUAAAUUUUUGUAAGGGCUAGUGACUAAAACUUGGAGGGGAGUUAAAUAUAGAUUUUUAUUUUUUAUUUUUUUAGGAAUAUGUAGCGCGCUAUCUGCUUCAUUUAUUGAAAGAGUGAACUAAGCUACAGAGGUGAGACAACAUGGGUCUCGAAAGCGAAAAAAAAAAAAAAAUCUAGCAUUACAGUGGUGCAAAUUUAAUAACAGAUAGUACUUUCAGUGAUCCAUCAACAAUUAAUGACAUAGAAAAAAGGUA
rnacentral:lncRNA from 1 species